rnacentral:rRNA from 1 species
AUUACAGGGUAGCAAUAUUCUGUGGUCGGAGCGGCGCAAGGGUGCGUAACACGUGGGUAAUCUGCCAUGAAGUUUGGAAUAACUUGCUGAAAGGCGAGCUAAUACCGGAUGUGACAAUUGAGAGGCAUCUUCCGAUUGUCAAAGCUGGGGACCGUAAGGCCUGGCGCUUCAUGAUGAGCCCGCGGCCUAUCAGCUAGUUGGUGAGGUAACGGCUCACCAAGGCUAAGACGGGUAGCUGGUCUGAGAGGACGACCAGCCACACUGGAACUGAGACACGGUCCAGACACCUACGGGUGGCAGCAGUCGAGAAUUUUUCACAAUGGGCGCAAGCCUGAUGGAGCGACGCCGCGUGGGGGGAUGGAUGGCUUCGGCCCGUAAACCCCUGUCAUUUGCGAACAAAUUGGUUCAAUUAACACCUGAACCAUUGAUAGUAGCGAAAGAGGAAGGGACGGCUAACUCUGUGCCAGCAGCCGCGGUAAUACAGAGGUCCCAAGCGUUGUUCGGAUUCACUGGGCGUAAAGGGUGCGUAGGUGGUGAGGUAAGUCGGAUGUGAAAGCUCGGAGCUCAACUCCGAAAUGGCAUUGGAAACUACCUUGCUAGAGGGUUGGAGGGGGGACUGGAAUGCUUGGUGUAGCAGUGAAAUGCGUAGAUAUCAAGCGGAACACCAGUGGCGAAGGCGAGUCCCUGGACAACUCCUGACACUGAGGCACGAAAGCUAGGGGAGCAAACAGGAUUAGAUACCCUGGUAGUCCUAGCCGUAAACGGUGCACGUUUGCUGUAAAAGGAAUCGACCCCUUUUGUGGCGUAGCCAACGCG